rnacentral:lncRNA from 1 species
GGGCUACUCAGGGAACCUGGCUGUUUGGAAGCCAACCCUUCUCUGUCUGGAGACCAAAGUGCUCCCUACCAGGAGAUGCUGGGUCCCCAGCUCUGCAAAGGGCAAGGGCAGGGAGGGCUAGGAAUUUUCACUUCCCUUAGCUGCGGUCUAACUUCCCCAUUUCGGUGGGUAUUUAUAGAAUGUGUGUGGGGGGGGCUGGAAUCUGAUGCAAGAGCUCUCAGAAAUGGCACCCAGUUGAGUGUGUGGAGGCAGCCUGCUGAGCUACACCUGGGAGCCCAGGAAGGGGAGGGCCCUUCCCCUGGUUCUGACCCCCCAGACCUCAAGAGGCUGUGUGAUCUGGAGAGAGCUGAUGCCCUCUCUGGGCUUCAGCUCCUGCUAGGGACAUGGGGUGGGGCUCUCUUCUAGCCAGGGGCAGUGGUGCGCAGGGCGGGUCCAGGCCUGGGAAACGGGCAUCAGAGAAGGACCCUGGUUGUCCUUCCCCACCAGCUUUUCUAGAAAACCUCGGCCCAAGGGAGGCUCGGGGCUCAGUCCUGGGUGGCAUAUGACUCCUGAGGGUGACAUCCCAGACCCAGAUGCGUGUGUGUGUGUGUGUGUGUGUGGCUGUUCACACAUGCUCCCAGGAUGGCAGCUCCCACGGACUCGUCCUAAAGCCCCCAGAAGGGACUGGGGGCCUCACGCUGGGCCCUGUGGCCCCCUGAGGGCUGGGGUGCUGCUCGGGAGGAAGCAGCCCCGGGGCACUGAACCGGGAGGGUUCCUAGAUUCUGGGAUCCUGCCUCGGGGGACAGCAGAUGGCAGGACGGCAGUUCAGCACACUCACACUCUGGACCCUGGAGGGGGGUCAGAGCCACCUUUAUGGAUCUCACUGAAGCCCUCAUCAGCUCCAGCGUCUGCCCGGCCUCGGGGAGACCCCAGACCCCUCCAGUCAGAGGGUGCAGAGGGACUUUGGUACAGAAAGCGACUGGCCAGCUGUCCAGAGGUCUGUUCAGAGAGAGCCCCAGCAGUGGGGUCCUCACGCCUCGGACUGGUCACCUGCCUUUCAGGGACCCCUGGCCUGUGGGUAGCGG